rnacentral:rRNA from 1 species
UUACGGGAGGCAGCAGUGGGGAAUUUUUAGACAAUGGGCGCAAGCCUGAUCUAGCCAUGCCGCGUGUGUGAUUGAAGGCCUUAGGAUCGUAAAGCUCUUUCGCCAGGGAUGAUAAUGACAGUACCUGGUAAAGAAACCCCGGCUAACUCCGUGCCAGCAGCCGCGGUAAUACGGAGGGGGUUAGCGUUGUUCGGAAUUACUGGGCGUAAAGCGUACGUAGGCGGAUCAGAAAGUAUGGGGUGAAAUCCCAGGGCUCAACCCUGGAACUGCCUCAUAAACUCCUGGUUUAGAGUUCGAGAGAGGUGAGUGGAAUUCCAAGUGUAGAGGUGAAAUUCGUAGAUAUUUGGAGGAACACCAGUGGCGAAGGCGGCUCACUGGCUCGAUACUGACGCUGAGGUUCGUAAUGUAUGGGGAGCAAACAGGAUUAGAUACCCUGGUAGUCCCCCCCGUUUGAUGAAUUCCAGUCGUCG